AGGNNCGCGCCUAUCAUGCAAGUCGGACGGGAUAGAAGAGCUUGCUUUUCUUGAGAGUGGCGCACGGGUGCGUAACACGUAUGUAACCUACCUUAGUCAGGGGAUAGCCUCUCGAAAGAGAGAUUAAGACCGCAUAACAUCAUUUUGUGGCAUCGCAGAAUGAUCAAAUAUUUAUAGGACUAAGAUGGGCAUGCGCAACAUUAGCUAGUUGGUGUGGUAACGGCAUACCAAGGCUACGAUGUUUAGGGGAUCUGAGAGGAUGACCCCCCACACUGGUACUGAGACACGGACCAGACUCCUACGGGAGGCAGCAGUAAGGAAUAUUGGUCAAUGGACGGAAGUCUGAACCAGCCAUGCCGCGUGCAGGAAGACGGCCCUACGGGUUGUAAACUGCUUUUGCAGGGGAAUAAACCUUCUUUCGUGAAAGAAGCUGAAUGUACUCUGAGAAUAAGGAUCGGCUAACUCCGUGCCAGCAGCCGCGGUAAUACGGAGGAUCCAAGCGUUAUCCGGAUUUAUUGGGUUUAAAGGGUGCGUAGGCGGCUUUUUAAGUCAGGGGUGAAAGACGGUAGCUUAACUAUCGCAGUGCCCUUGAUACUGAAGAGCUUGAAUGUAGUUGAGGUAGGCGGAAUGUGACAAGUAGCGGUGAAAUGCAUAGAUAUGUCACAGAACACCAAUUGCGAAGGCAGCUUACUAAGCUAUGAUUGACGCUGAGGCACGAAAGCGUGGGGAUCAAACAGGAUUAGAUACCCUGGUAGUCCACGCCCUAAACGAUGAACACUCGAUGUUGGCGAUAUACAGUCAGCGUCUAAGCGAAAGCGUUAAGCGUUCCACCUGGGGAGUACGCCCGCAAGGGUGAAACUCAAAGGAAUUGACGGGGGCCCGCACAACCGGAGGA
rnacentral:rRNA from 1 species